GCUGGGCUUGGAGGUGCACACCUGUAAUGCCAGCAACUCGGGAGGCUGAGGCAGGAGGAUCUCAAGUUUAAAGCCAGCCUUUGCAACUUGGUGAGGCCCUAAGCAACUUAGUGAAAUCCUGUCUCAA
rnacentral:sRNA from 1 species